AACGCACAUUGCGCCCCCUCUAACAGGGGGGCAUGCCUGUCUGAGCGUCGCUUGAUAUCCAUAAGCCAUCGUCGGCUUGUCUUGGGCCUUGCUGUAUCGGCAUCGCCUCAAAGAGAUCAGUCUCUUGAGCGGACAGGAUCCUGUAGGGCUGACCGUUCCUGGACUCUAAAAAUUUAUCUCGACUCGACCUCAGAUCAGGCAGGACUACCGCCUGAACUUAA
rnacentral:misc_RNA from 1 species